AACUGAUACUACCUGCGGGAACCUGCGGAGGGAUCAUUACAGGACUCGCAAGACUCCCGUACACCACUGUGAACCUUACUCUUUGUUGCCUCGGCGGGUGCUGGUCUUCUCCAGCGCUCACGCCCGCCGGCGGCCCGCAACUCGUUAUUUAAUCUUUGCAUCUCCGAGCACCACACAAACGAAUCAAAACUUUUAACAAUGGAUCUCU
rnacentral:misc_RNA from 1 species